UACUUCUUCGGACAAUAUACAAGGUGCUGCAUGGUUGUCGUCAGCUCGUGCCGUGAGGUGUUGGGUUAAGUCCCGUAACGAGCGCAACCCUUGUCCUUAGUUACCAGCACGUUAUGUGGGCACUCUAAGGAGACUGCCGGUGGACAAACCGGAGGAAGGUGGGGAUGACGUCAAGUCAUCAUGGCCCUUACGGCCUGGGCUACACACGUGCUACAAUGGUCGGUACAAAGGGUUAGCCAAGCCGCGAGGUGGAGCUAAUCCCAUAAAACCGAUCGUAGUCCGGAUCGCAGUCUGCAACUCGACUGCGUGAAGUCGGAAUCGCUAGUAAUCGUGAAUCAGAAUGUCACGGUGAAUACGUUCCCGGGCCUU
rnacentral:rRNA from 1 species